UUUCAUAUUCCUAACCAACCUAUUCUGUGAAUUCAAGCGACCAAACCACUAAAGUUAAUCACUGUCAUAUCAAGCUAUAAAGCUAUUCGUUUAUUGAAAAACGGAUGUCAAGCUUUCUUGGCCCAUAUCACAGAUUUAAACAAAAAUACGUCAUAUUUGAAUGAUAUUCCUAUUGUUAAUAAAUUUCUUGACAUAUUCACU
rnacentral:lncRNA from 1 species